rnacentral:rRNA from 1 species
AUUGAACGCUGGCGGCAGGCUUAACACAUGCAAGUCGAGCGGAAACGAUGGGAGCUUGCUCCCAGGCGUCGAGCGGCGGACGGGUGAGUAACACUUAGGAAUCUACCUAGUAGUGGGGGAUAGCUCGGGGAAACUCGAAUUAAUACCGCAUACGUCCUACGGGAGAAAGGGGGCAACUUGUUGCUCUCGCUAUUAGAUGAGCCUAAGUCGGAUUAGCUAGUUGGUGGGGUAAAGGCCUACCAAGGCGACGAUCUGUAGCUGGUCUGAGAGGAUGAUCAGCCACACCGGGACUGAGACACGGCCCGGACUCCUACGGGAGGCAGCAGUGGGGAAUAUUGGACAAUGGGGGCAACCCUGAUCCAGCCAUGCCGCGUGUGUGAAGAAGGCCUUUUGGUUGUAAAGCACUUUAAGCAGUGAAGAAGACCUAACGGUUAAUACCCGUUAGCGAUGACAUUAGCUGCAGAAUAAGCACCGGCUAACUCUGUGCCAGCCGCCGCCGUAACAC